GUCCAUUUGCAUUUAGAGUGAUUAUUGAAAUGCGGGGGCCUAAUGCUGCCAUUUUGUCCCUCAUUUUCCAGUUCUCCUGCAUUUCUUUUGUUUUUCAUCCCAUGAAUUUCAGACUACCAAUUCAGGCCAGCCCAGCCCUGUCCUCCAGUUCCCAUGAUUUCCUGCCAAAUCCAACCAUCAUUCUUUUCCUUGAUCUCAGAAACCACCCCCCAUCCCUCCCUGGUGAGUAUGCUUUCUUGUUGAAGGAUUUGA
rnacentral:lncRNA from 1 species